AGAGUUUGAUCAUGGCUCAGAGCGAACGCUGGCGGCGUACUUAACACAUGCAAGUCGAACGAGGAGCUUCGGUGUAGCAAUACAUCGGAGUUUCUAGUGGCGAACGGGUGAGUAACACGUGGGGAACCUGUCCUCCAGUCGGGGAUACCCGCUCGAAAGGGCGGCUAAUACCGGAUGCGUUCUCGAGGUCGCAAGAUCUUGAGAGGAAAGGCGGCGAAAGCUGUCGCUGGUGGAGGGCCUUGCGGCCUAUCAGCUAGUUGGUGAGGUAAUGGCUCACCAAGGCUAUGACGGGUAGCUGGUCUGAGAGGACGACCAGCCACACGGGGACUGAGACACGGCCCCGACUCCUACGGGAGGCAGCAGUGGGGAAUUUUCCGCAAUGGGCGAAAGCCUGACGGAGUGACGCCGCGUGGGGGACGAAGGCCUUCGGGUUGUAAACCCCUGUCAGAGGGAAAGAAGGGCCGCUGGGUCAAUACCCCGGUGGUCUGACGGUACCUUCAGAGGAAGCCCCGGCCAACUCUGUGCCAGCCGCCGCGGUAAUAC
rnacentral:rRNA from 1 species